UUCACAACCUUCAAGCUCGAUUUACUCGAAAUGUGUGAAUUGUUAGAUAGGCCGUUUUGAAAAGUUACGCGAGAAAUGUUCGCGGUUUUAUUAAAGUUAAUUCCCGUGUUUUAUUGUCCGAAAGUAGUUCGCCCAAUAUAAUGAAUAUUAACGCUUUUAGAUUUUGUUUAUAUGCACUCCUGAUUUUCCUAUAAAUAUUUGAAAACCUGUAUAUUCACCACAUUUUGCAAAAUAAAACGAGAUGCGGCACAGUUUGUUCAACGCUAUGGGUAUACAUCGUGGUGAUUUUGGAUCCCACCCCUGCAUUGGGAUGUUUAUUUACAUUUAGAAACGUCAAAUCCGGUCUGCGCUCAGACUCACUGAGAUCCCGGUCAGGGCGUCCCAAACAGGAGCACCAACGAAACUAACCUCAAAUAACUUUCUUUCCUAACCUUAACUUAGCAUUUUUAUUAGUCGGAUCUCAAUUUUCCUGAAAUCAGUGCAAGAAUAUGGAAAACAUGCAAAUGUAGAACAUUAAAAAUCACUUUGUCCACCCUUUUCUCUAAACUUUAGCGUUAAGUCGUCUUCCGGCAGAAAUAUAUAACAUUCCAAUCCACAAACUCAAAAUCCCGAAAAUAAACAAAACUAUCAUCCAUCCAACACUUACGGUAAUCGCUAUUUUUCAUUAUAAACGACUUUAAAUAUCACUAUGUUUGCUACUCAUGCCGACAAAUGCCUUAUUGAACUGUUGACUUAUAAUCCGGAAGCUUCCCGCUUUGAGUGAGCAAUCUUCCGGAUCAUUCAAACUUCGUCGGCAGAAAAAGAUCAGACAAGGCGUCUAUUCUGUUUGGACUCAGUAGAACCUUCGACGGUUGCGGGAGAAGACUAUAAUGAAUCCGGUGGUCACGGUGGUCAACAUUCCGCAGCAGAGGAAGCACCUUGGAAGAAAAUUUCUACAAAAUAAAAAACAAACUUGCUCUUAUACUCUUUCCUUUAUUCAUCCUUUAGUAUAGGAUUUAUGGAUUUGCUGUUUUACAGCAAUCUAAAUAUCACAACCCGGAACUAUAUCGAACCGGACAUCCAGCGUCAGGAUGCCAUCUUCGCGUACCGGACCAGAACAAGGGUCUCACGGCGCGCAAGAAGAAGGAGCAGCGCAACAUCCGAGUCAAGAACCGUCAGAAGGCCCUGGUGCGCCGGAAGGGAACGGGUUCGACCGGUCCGAACGGAAACGACACGAUACGCUGGGGAAGCGACCGGAAUCAAGGCUUUCAUCAAGAGGAGCAUCAAACUCAAGUAAUGGUAAGCAUAGUUAUGGGCUCUUUAUUGUUAGGAUUAGAACAGUGUCACAAAAAUAUACACUUUUAUGUUGGUAACAGUUGUGUAAGGAUUGUAA